UGGGUGAGUAACACGUGGGGAACCUGCCCCUACCUUUAGGAUACCAUUUGGAAACAGGUGCUAAUACCGGAUAAUAAAACAGAUCGCAUGAUCAGCUUUUGAAAGGCGGCCCAAGCUGUCGCUAAGGGAUGGCCCCGCGGUGCAUUAGCUAGUUGGUAAGGUAACGGCUUACCAAGGCGACGAUGCAUAGCCGAGUUGAGAGACUGAUCGGCCACAUUGGGACUGAGACACGGCCCAAACUCCUACGGGAGGCAGCAGUAGGGAAUCUUCCACAAUGGACGCAAGUCUGAUGGAGCAACGCCGCGUGAGUGGAGAAGGUUUUCGGAUCGUAAAGCUCUGUUGUUGGUGAAGAAGGAUAGAGGUAGUAACUGGCCUUUAUUUGACGGUAAUCAACCAGAAAGUCACGGCUAACUACGUGCCAGCAGCCGCGGUAAUACGUAGGUGGCAAGCGUUGUCCGGAUUUAUUGGGCGUAAAGCGAGCGCAGGCGGAAAAAUAAGUCUAAUGUGAAAGCCCUCGGCUUAACCGAGGAACUGCAUCGGAAACUGUUUUUCUUGAGUGCAGAAGAGGAGAGUGGAACUCCAUGUGUAGCGGUGGAAUGCGUAGAUAUAUGGAAGAACACCAGUGGCGAAGGCGGCUCUCUGGUCUGCAACUGACGCUGAGGCUCGAAAGCAUGGGUAGCGAACAGGAUUAGAUACCCUGGUAGUCCAUGCCGUAAACGAUGAGUGCUAAGUGUUGGGAGGUUUCCGCCUCUCAGUGCUGCAGCUAACGCAUU
rnacentral:rRNA from 1 species